UUUCAUUCUUUUUAUAUUAAUUCUAUAAAUAUUUCUCUGUGUACUUGUUGCAAGUUUCUUGAAAUGAAAGAUGUUUCAUUGUAUGUCCAAUGUCACCAAGCACAAUGUCUGACACACAAUAGGUGCUUGCUUAAUAAAUGCUUACUGAUUUGCAGCUUUUUGAAGAUCCCUGAAUUGAGAGUUCAUAGGUAGGUAAGAAGAGAGAGUUUGGAAGUUCAAAGAAAGAAAAAAAAAAAGAGAGCGUGACAAAGUAAAAAAGAAAAAAAAAUCAGGAAUAACAUGAUAUUGAAUGUGAAACUUGUAUGGAAAUUCUAUUCCUGACCUUUACUCUUAAUUUUUCUAGAGCCCCCUUUUUUCUCAUUUGUGACCUACAGAAGUUGGAUUCAGUUGAUGAUUCUAGUCUAGUCUUAAAUUCUAUGACAUUAAGUUAAAUUUGGAAGAGUGAGGGAAGUGCAUCCCCACAACACCCCUGGGACAGAUAAUGAGCAGAGUCUUCAGGCUGCCUGCCUUCCUGAGCAGUGGCCCUGCGGCUGCUGAUUCCCUGGCAGGCCAGCCCCGCCACCAGCACUGGGGCUGCUCAGAGAGUCCUGUCUGUGGGGGAAAGGAGAUAAGCAGGCAAGGGUUUGAGUCCACGGCAUAUUCAUGGGAAAGCAUGAAUCUGUAUGAGUACAGCUCAUCGAUAUGAAAGAAUAGAAGCCAAAGCUUCUGUGAAAUAGCAGCUGCAUGGAAGAUGGAUUGGAGAGAGGAGAGAUUGGAUGCAAUUAGUAAAAUAUUUCAGUGGUUCAGGACCAGAGUUCCAGAUAUUAGAAAUUCCAGCAACAGACUUUUACCUCAAAGGCCCAGCUAAAGAAAAAGGAUUUAGAUGUCAGAUCUCUUGUUGUGUGAACCUGAUUUCUGGAAAAGAUUGCUGACAGCAGAAGAACAGCUUCCUGCUUGAUAGCGAGUGGACCUGACCGGCAUUUAAUGUUUAUUUAUCAAAGUAGCAAAUCCCUGAUAAUUCACGCUGGGAUAACUUUGCACAAUGAGGCUGAUGUCACAGGAACACGUUUUAAUUAAGCGAGGACAAGUGAGGAUCAUAGAAAUCUCCAAGAGAUCACAGGGAACUCUAUGGCCUUGGAUUCUAACCCUUCAUUUUACAGAUGAAGAAAUUGGGGCAAACAGGGAUAAGUGACUUGUCCAGGAUCAUACAAGUAGUAAGUGAAUGAGAUCAAACAACCGCAGACUUGGAAUCGAAUUGAGAAAUUAUGAAGUCCGAAAUGUUCAGGAGUAUGAAGGUCUCCAGUAACGCAGGAGCUCACUACUUUCACUAUCACUUUUGGACAGCCCAGUGGUUUCAUUGGUGUACGACAAUGAGAAAACAACCUUUACUAAUAAACUUCAGUGCCUACUCUGAAGUUUAUAGUCUUUGAGAUUUGGUGGGACAAUGAGAGGGUAAGUGACUUUCCCAGUGUUAUUGCACUAGUGUGUGAUAAAGAUAAGACAUGAACUCAGGUCUUUUCCUGUCCUUAAGGCCAAUUUUUUACCUAUUAUGCUACAUUUCCUCUUUACUGUUUUAAAGAUCUGGAAAAAAAAGUACUCUGUGAGUUGGGAAAGGGAAGAUCACUAGAGAUGUGGAAUGAUUGAAGGUUUUUGGUAGAAGAUUUGCUUUAUUUUUAAAUUUAAUUAAAUUUUGUUUUUAUUUUUAUUUUAUUUUAUUUUUUUGGUUUAAUGUCACAAUCAUUUCCUGGUAUUAAUUCCUUCCCCAGUGAACUCUAGUUACCUAGGAAAAACCUGUUAAGCAAAACAAAAUGAUAAAAUGAACAGAUUUACAACAUUAUGAAUUUCUGAUCCUCCACUUUUUUUUUUAACCAAGAGGGAAGUACAUUGUAUCAUUUGCUAUUUUGUCUUUUAUUUUCUUAAAGUUGGUCAUUAUAAUUAAUCAGAGUUGGGCUACUUUUCAGGAUUGCUUUCCCUGGCAUUAUUGUAUUCACUGUUCACAGAAUCACAGAAGCCUUUAUUUGGAAGAAAUCUCAUCAAUCAUUAGGUAAAACCCAUAAAUAUAGCACUAGAUCAUUCUCCACCAAUGGUUAUCCUGUAUAUACUUGAAAAUCUCUAAAGAAAAGGAAUUCUUCACUUCCAGAGGAAGCUAUUUAACUUUGGGGUGAUAAUAACUACUAGGAAGUUUUUUCCUCAUAUCAAGUAUAAAUUUUCUUCUUUACAACUUCCACUACCUAGUCCUCAUUCCUCUCCUGGUUCCUCUUCUGACCUUGUCUCCAUGUCUCUUCUGCCUUCUUAUCCUGAAACUUCCACCUGCCCUUGAGGUACUUCCUCUCCCAUUGCUGAGUUCAUUUCAGGACUUCCAUUUUGGGGACAGAUCUAAGAUGGUCUUUUAUUUUUCUCAUGGCUUUGCUUGGGCUCUGUGGGCUUUUCUCUCUCUUUUUUUUAGUUUUUAAUUUUCAAAAUAUAU